UAAGGAAUAUUGGUCAAUGGACGAAAGUCUGAACCAGCCAUGCCGCGUGAAGGAUGAAGGUCCUCUGGAUUGUAAACUUCUUUUAUAUGGGACGAAAAAAGGGWAUUCUUWCUCACUUGACGGUACCAKAGGAAUAAGCACCGGCUAACUCCGUGCCAGCAGCCGCGGUAAUACGGAGGGUGCAAGCGUUAUCCGGAUUCACUGGGUUUAAAGGGUGCGUAGGUGGGUAAGUAAGUCAGYGGUGAAAUCUCCGAGCUUAACUCGGAAACUGCCRUUGAUACUAUUUAUCUUGAAUAUUGUGGAGGUAAGCGGAAUAUGUCAUGUAGCGGUGAAAUGCUUAGAUAUGACAUAGAACACCAAUUGCGAAGGCAGCUYACUACGSAKUYAUUGACGCUGAGGCACGAAAGCGUGGGGAUCAAACAGGAUUAGAUACCCUGGUAGUCCACGCCCUAAACGAUGGAUACUCGACAUACGCGAUACACUGUGAUGUGUCUGAGCGAAAGCAUUAAGU
rnacentral:rRNA from 1 species